AAAAAAAGAAGCUGCUAAUGGAAGUUAUAUGUCCAAUUCAAAUCUUCUGAAUCAGCAAUAUUUUUCCCCACCCCACUUUUUAUUCAUCUCUAUCAAUGUCACUUCUUGAAAGUUGCUCAGAAACCACAUCCUUAUAGCCGUUGAAAAAGUUUCAUUAAUUGGAAGAUGAUAAAUACAAAGUGGCUGCUUUCAGCUUUCAACAUCAAUUCCCCACUAUUGCCACGGUACCACCCAGCCAUCACCCCACCAACAAAUUAAACUG
rnacentral:misc_RNA from 1 species